GCCUCGGUAGUGAUGUGGUAGCACGCAUCUCCGGUAUGGAUGAAACGCGGGUUCGAUCCCGUCUGAGGUC